rnacentral:rRNA from 1 species
AUACGGAGGAUCCGAGCGUUAUCCGGAUUUAUUGGGUUUAAAGGGUGCGCAGGCGGCCAUUUAAGUCAGCGGUUAAAUCGUGGGGCUCAACCCCAUUCUGCCGUUGAUACUGGGUGGCUUGAUUGCGGUCGAGGUUGGCGGAAUUCGUUGUGUAGCGGUGAAAUGCAUAGAUAUGACGAAGAACACCGAUUGCGUAGGCAGCUGACCAGACCGCAAAUGACGCUCAUGCACGAAAGUGCGGGGAUCGAACAGGAUUAGAUACCCUGGUAGUCCGCACAGUAAACGAUGAAUACUUGUUUUCGGCGAUAUAGUGUCGGAGGCAAAGCGAAAGCGAUAAGUAUUCCACCUGGGGAGUACGCCGGCAACGGUGAAACUCAAAGGAAUUGACGGGG